rnacentral:lncRNA from 1 species
GCAGGAGCAAUGCUGAUGGACAAAUCUGGAAGAAGACCACUCAUAAUGGUUUCUGCAACUGGUACAUUCCUAGGCUGCUCCAUGGCUGGUGCUUCUUUCUUCUUCAAGGUUAACCCUCACUGCACAUCUUCUUUCUUCUUCAAGGUUAACCCCUUAUUUUUUUUAUUGAAAGCCCUAAACAAUGUUCCUAACGACUCGUCACUGAACCAGAGCCACGAUUUGCUGCUCGACUGGGUGCCUAUCCUAGCUGUAUCUGGUGUACUGGUAAAUUCACGAACCACAGUCUUCAAUUUUCUCUGCAAAAUUGAGAGUUAUGGUUUUUCAUUGAUCUAAACACUGUGAAAUGAAAAAAUCAGGUGUACAUUUCUGCAUUCUCAAUUGGAAUGGGAGCAGUGCCCUGGGUGAUCAUGUCUGAGGUAUACAACACUCAAAACCCUAUAAAACAUGACAUUAUUACGACAGUUUCCAUAUCAUCCAAUCAAUUAAGGAGAAUCACUCACUUGGCGAUUUCUGAAACAGAUCUUCCCCAUAAACAUGAAGGGAGUGGGAGGAAGCCUGGUGGUGCUGGUGAAUUGGCUGGGCGCAUGGGCAGUCUCGUUCACAUUCAAUUUCUUAAUGAGCUGGAGUUCCCCGGGGACAUUCUUCCUCUACUCCGGCUUCUCGAUCCUGAC